CCUACGGGUGGCAGCAGUGAGGAAUAUUGGUCAAUGGGCGCGAGCCUGAACCAGCCAAGUAGCGUGAAGGCUGACUGCCCUACGGGUUGUAAACUUCUUUUAUCAAGGAGUAAAGUGAGGCACGUGUGACUUUUUGUAUGUACCUUAUGAAUAAGGAUCGGCUAACUCCGUGCCAGCAGCCGCGGUAAUACGGAGGAUACGAGCGUUAUCCGGAUUUAUUGGGUUUAAAGGGCGUGUAGAUGGGUUGUUAAGUCAGUAGUGAAAGUUUGCGGCUCAACCGUAAAAGUGCAAUUGAUCCUGGCAGUCUUGAGUACAGUUGAGGUAGGCGGAAUUCGUGGUGUAGCGGUGAAAUGCUUAGAUAUCACGAAGAACUCCGAUUGCGAAGGCAGCUUACUAAACUGCCACUGACAUUGAUGCUCGAAAGUGUGGGUAUCAAACAGGAUUAGAUACCCGUGUAGUC
rnacentral:rRNA from 1 species